GACGAAUGCUGGCGGCGCGCUUAACACAUGCAAGUCGAGCGGAAAGGCCCUUCGGGGUACUCGAGCGGCGAACGGGUGAGUAACACGUGAGUAACCUGCCCCAGACUUUGGGAUAACCCUCGGAAACGGGGGCUAAUACCGGAUACGACACAGCUUCGCAUGGGGUCUGUGUGGAAAGUUUUUCGGUUUGGGAUGGGCUCGCGGCCUAUCAGCUUGUUGGUGGGGUGAUGGCCUACCAAGGCGACGACGGGUAGCCGGCCUGAGAGGGCGACCGGCCACACUGGGACUGAGACACGGCCCAGACUCCUACGGGAGGCAGCAGUGGGGAAUAUUGCACAAUGGGCGGAAGCCUGAUGCAGCGACGCCGCGUGAGGGAUGACGGCCUUCGGGUUGUAAACCUCUUUCAGCAGGGACGAAGCGUAAGUGACGGUACCUGCAGAAGAAGCGCCGGCCAACUACGUG
rnacentral:rRNA from 1 species